rnacentral:rRNA from 1 species
GACGUAGGGCGCGAGCGUUGUCCGGAUUUAUUGGGCGUAAAGAGCUCGUAGGCGGCUUGUCGCGUCGUCUGUGAAAUCCCGCGGCUCAACCGCGGGUCUGCAGUCGAUACGGGCAGGCUAGAGUUCGGUAGGGGAGACUGGGAUUCCUGGUGUAGCGGUGAAAUGCGCAGAUAUCAGGAGGAACACCGGUGGCGAAGGCGGCUUACUGGGUCUUUUCUGACGCUGAGGCACGAAAGCCAGGGGAGCGAACGGG